rnacentral:tRNA from 1 species
CCUAAAAUGGCAGAUUUAUGCGAGAAAUUUAAGCUUUCUCCAUGGCUAUAGGCCUUUUAGGA